CAGUAAUAACAUGUGCAGUAGUUACAGUAGUAGUAACUAUCAUUUUAUAUAUUUUUUAUCAUUCCAGACUCCCAAGCACCUGCCCAUCCCACUCCAUAGCCCAGCCACCCACUCUCAUGUACCAUAUGGCCAUCCCAGUAAGCAAGCCAACCACUAGAAUUUGACUGGCAUGCACCUGUGACUUACAUAAACCAGACCUCUACAUAGCCUACAUGUCUUCAUUUUGCUGAAGACUGCCCAUCAUCCUAGCCUGUUAUCUGUGAUAAAGCACACUGAAGUUAGGUUUGGAAUGCAUCCUUAUCAUGAAUGCUCUACACCUCCACCUCCAUCUCCCACAACCUAGGUAACAGCUUUGAGACUCACUAAAAGUUGAACCCCCUGAAUGAUGUAGGCUAUGGGGCCACAUAAGACUUUGUCCAUCCAGGGUUACAUUGAACGACAACUUUAAACUAAAAAACCAACAUUUUUCACACAACUCCAGGUUGUUACUAACAAAUUACUACUACAAGUGUCAUCAAGGGAUAACUACAAGUAGAAGCACCAUUUUUGGAUGGAAAAAAACCCUUCAGGAAAGUAUACGUAUCACAUGUAACAUGUAGUGUAACAAAGUAUGAACAGUAAGGUUUUUACAUACAGUAGUAUUACAUACGUACAUAACUUUUUUUUACAGGAAUUUCCAACCAAGUUUGAUUAUGUACAUACAUGUUAUAAACCACUGUACGUAUGGUUACUGUAUG